UACGAAGGGUGCAAGCGUUACUCGGAAUUACUGGGCGUAAAGCGUGCGCAGGCGGUUUUGUAAGUCUGUCGUGAAAGCCCUGGGCUUAACCUGGGAAUUGCAGUCGAUACUGCUCGGCUAGAGUAUGGGAGAGGGUAGUGGAAUUCCCGGUGUAGCGGUGAAAUGCGUAGAUAUCGGGAGGAACAUCAGUGGCGAAGGCGGCUACCUGGCCCAAUACUGACACUCAGGUGCGACAGCGUGGGGAGCAAACAGG
rnacentral:rRNA from 1 species